rnacentral:rRNA from 1 species
UACGUAGGGUGCGAGCGUUAAUCGGAAUUACUGGGCGUAAAGCGUGCGCAGGCGGUUGUACAAGACAGGUGUGAAAUCCCCGGGCUUAACCUGGGAACUGCACUUGUGACUGUACGACUGGAGUACGGCAGAGGGGGAUGGAAUUCCGCGUGUAGCAGUGAAAUGCGUAGAUAUCAGGAGGAAUACCGAUGGCGAAGGCAGGUCUCUGGGCUGACACUGACGCUCAUGCACGAAGGCGUGGGGAGCAAACAGG